rnacentral:lncRNA from 1 species
GGGUACUAUCCAGGGGCUGCUUCCUGCGUGGACCUGCUGCCCAAACCCAGUUCCGUGAUACAAAGAUGCGUCCCUACUCGUUUUAUUUACUCAAGAGGAAACACCCAAGAGUCACUGUGAGAGUUCCUCAAGGAAAGAAACGGGAAGAAAGGAGGAAAAAGAACUUAAGAAAGUAAAGAAAGAGACUGUCACAGUGACCAUUCCUCUGCUAUCAAUCAUUGGUGGCGGUGGAGGAGGUGAGUGGGGAGAGACCAGGAGGGGUGCAGGAAGGUCCCAAGCUGCUUGUGGAAGAGCUGAAAGUUUCCAUUUCUAUUCAAAUAUUAUUAGCAUGAUGGGAAAGAGCCAUUUCCCAAGCUUUCUUACAAGUGAUUUUCACCAGGAAUGCAGCUUCAUGUGCUGUUUCUUUUCUUUCUCUCUAACUCUCACUAGUGCCACACACAUCUUAAUCAUGUAUCUUGUCGCCGGCAACCUAGGAUUAUUAUUUUUUUUCUUGACCAAUUUAUACUGAUUGUGUGGGA